AAUCAACGCUGGCGGCGUGCCUCAGACAUGCAAGUCGAACGAUUAAAGCGUCUCUUCGGAGAGUGUAUAGAGUGGCGCACGGGUGAGUAACACGUAAGUAAUCUACCUUCGAGUGGGGAAUACCGUCCGGAAACGGACGCUAAUACCGCAUAAUGCAGCGGCAUCGUAAGAUGACAGUUGUUAAAGAUUUUAUCGCUUGAAGAGGAGCUUGCGGCAGAGUUAGCUAGUUGGUAAGGUAAUGGCUUACCAAGGC
rnacentral:rRNA from 1 species